rnacentral:rRNA from 1 species
CCGCAAGGCUAAAACUCAAAGGAAUUGACGGGGGCCCGCACAAGCGGCGGAGCAUGCGGAUUAAUUCGAUGCAACGCGAAGAACCUUACCAAGGCUUGACAUACACCGGAAUCGGCCAGAGAUGGUCGCGUCUUCGGACUGGUGUACAGGUGGUGCAUGGUUGUCGUCAGCUCGUGUCGUGAGAUGUUGGGUUAAGUCCCGCAACGAGCGCAACCCUCGUCCUAUGUUGCCAGCACGUCAUGGUGGGGACUCAUAGGAGACUGCCGGGGUCAACUCGGAGGAAGGUGGGGAUGACGUCAAAUCAUCAUGCUCCUUAUGUCUUGGGCUUCACGCAUGCUACAAUGGCCGGUACAAAGGGCUGCGAUACCGCGAGGUGGAGCGAAUCCCAAAAAGCCGGUCUCAGUUCGGAUUGGGGUCUGCAACUCGACCCCAUGAAGUCGGAGUCGCUAGUAAUCGCAGAUCAGCAACGCUGCGGUGAAUACGUUCCCGGGCCUUGUACACACCGCCCGUCAAGUCACGAAAGUCGGUAACACCCGAAGCCGGUGGCCUAACCCCUCGUGGGAUGGAGCCGUCGAAGGUGGGAUUGGCGAUUGGGACU